rnacentral:lncRNA from 1 species
AAAAGGCCAACUCUGUCAUGUCUUCGCGCCAUGCCCUCGUGCAUCAUGCCUUUGCGUGCAUGUCUGUCACUGCCGCUUGUCCAGCUCGCCCAUGACACUGCCUUGCCCACGCCCAUUUGCCUUGCCACGCACUGCCUUAACUUGCCAUAGUUUUUCUAGCCUUUGCUACGCUUCUACUGCCCGUUGUCUUUGCCUUGCCAUGGCCACGCCAAUGCCAUCGUCUUGUCAUGCCUUGGCACAUUAGCCACAUGUCGUCGUGCCACGGUCCAUACCCAUCGACACCUGCUCAUGUCGGAUAUCUUUGUCAACAUGAUGCCACAGUCAUCAUAUGGCCCUGCCGAGAUCCAUCAUGUCAAUCCCUCAUCACGCCCAUGCCAUGUUCGAUCAAUCAAGCCGAGAGGCUAAUAGUAGGCUUAUUCUUUUAGAAAACUAUAUGGCAUUGGGUGUAUUGGGAUCAAGAAAUAUUAACUUCACACAAUAUUCUCUGCUCAAACCUGAGGAGAGAUUGAAGAUGGAUCUAAAAUUGAGAAAUUUAUCGUUCUUUACUUUUUGUAUUAUUUUAACUCUUUUAUUGUGUUACAUUAAGUUGCAUUCAAUUAAAUUGCUAAUGUAUGUUAUAUUUUUAGUAUCCACAAUAAUUCAUAAUUCAAUGAACUCAAUGGCUAUCAUGCAAUCUAAUAAAUUGUUACUCCCUAUUUAAUUGCUCCAAUACAACACUUAGACAUCGUUUGGACAUGAGUUUUGCCAAAUAAAUUUGGGAUUUAUUUUCAAAAUUCAUGAUUGGUCAUAAAGUUUGCCCAUAUUUUGGCAAAAUCCCAAACCCCAAAUCCCAAAAUCACCCCAAUUGUUGAUUUUGGGCCAAAAUCCCAAAACUUGGGAAUUAUAUACAUGUUUUUCCAAAAUAAAGUUGGGAAAUAUGUUUUGAAAACGUAUGUCCAAAAACAUUUUUAUCUUCAAACCAAAAUCACCUAAAUCAGAUUUUUCAAAAUAAAUUUGGGAUUUAUGGCCAAACGCUAGCUAAAUAUCUUGUCAUCACUAAUCAUAAUUUAAAAAAAAAAUAGGAAAAUUUUGUAGUAACGUAAAUAAACAAUAGAGAAAGGUCAACGCCUAUCCUUAAAUGUGGGACCAAAUUGUAAAUAAAAUAAUGAAGAAAUCAUAAAAGAACAAAACUAGUGGGGUCCAUCUAGCAUGAAGGAAUAAAUAAAAUUGACGCAAAUUACGAAAUUCAGCAAUUCCGUAACCCCCAUCAACAAAAGCUCCACGCCUGAAAUUCUCACUCUCCCCCUUUUUCCCCAAAAAAUGCUUUCAGUAUAUGGAAGAUGUUGAAGCAGAAAAAGAACAAGGAGAAACAACAGAAAAAGAAAAAUCAUUGCCCUUCCUUCUUUAAGAACAAAGAAUCAAAUGAACAUGCCCUAAUUGCAGACUCAAUAAUUGUUCCAAUAUUAUUCCUAUUUAUAUAUUUGGUUUACACAGCCUUAGAAGAAUCUAAAGGAAAAGGGGUGAGAGUGAGAGAGGUACAAAGAGAGUUAUGGGGAAGGGCCAAUUUUAGAUUCGCCGGAGGAAGAAAGCGAUGGCGCCGCCGUUGCCGCCUCCGCCGGUGGUGAAUGGGGCGGCUGCCAGUAAUUCAAUUGUGGGAGCGGCAGUGACUAGUAAAGUGGUGAAGAAGAAGGUCGGUGGGGCGAUACUGGGGAUGAGAUUCGAUAAGAGGGUCAAUCGGAGUUGAUAGAGUGGGAUAAGAGCGCUAUCAUCAAACAUGUUGGAAUUCCUGCUAGGGACUUGAGAAUUCUUGGCCCAAUCUUCUCUCACUCCUCUAGCAUUCUUGGUAAUAUUAAUUUCUUUUGCCCCUUCUAAGUGCUUAUAAAUUUGUUUAUGUGUUUCCAACUAUAACAAUAAAUAUCUGAACUUUUAUGUUUAGCUUAAUUCUAGGAAGUUUAACCAUUAUGUUUAGCUUACAUGUGUAUCUCCUAGAAUUUGCUUGUACCUAGUAUAAUGCUUUAAAACAAAGAAAUGUGAUAUUGGGUUUCGAGGAAUUGAAAAGCUCCUUUCUUUUAACUUGCAGCAAGGGAGAAUUCCAUGGUUGUCAAUUUGGAGUUUAUAAGAGCCAUAAUUCCCGUUGAAGACGUAUUGUUGCUUGAUCCUCUACGUCAAGAGGUUCUCCCAUUUGUGGAUCAACUGAGGCAACAACUUCCUCAUAAAAGUAUUUCAAAGGUUGAUGGUACUAGUGCUGAACAAGAUAAUGAAGGACAAUUUUCAACUGCUGGAAACUGGUUAUCUGUUCUAGAAGCUGUCGAAGGUCUGCAGGCUGAGCUCCCUUUUGAGUUUCAGGUGAUGGAGGUUGCCUUGGAGGUUGUUUAUACAUUCUUAGACUCUAGCGUGGUAGAGCUAGAGAGAGAUGCUUACCCAGUUUUGGAUGAAGUGGCUAUGAAUGCUAGCACGAAGAAUCUUGAGCAAGUGAGAAGUUUAAAAAGUAAUCUUACUCAUUUACUUGCCAGAGUGCAGAAGGUAUUCUUAUAUGUUUUUUCCCUUUUGCUAUUGAAACAUGUUAAAGGUCUUAUUUCUAGUAAUUUCUGUUCAUUUCUUGACAUUAUGGAUAUAGUUUCCCUCUUUAUGUAACACCCUUAUGCGCAAGUCAGAUAAUGAAUAGAUUUCAGUGUUGAUGUAUUCAUGGUUGGCUGCUGGAAAUUUGUUUGACCAGGAAGAGAACUUGUUACUUGUUGUCAUCAUCUAAUGCAGACUUACUAGUAAUGUACUUCAUAUUCAUUAUGAUAUGGCUUAUUGGGUGAACAACUAUUGGUAUCAGUUUGUACACCUUAAACACAAACCACAUUCAAUUUUAAUAGCCUUUGUUGCCCACUUUAAGUUAAUUUUCCUGAUGCCUCCUCUUAAGUAUUGAGUUCAUUAGUAGUGUAAUCUGUCUGCCUUAUGCUGGACCAAAUUUUGCACAUAUACUCGGGAAUGUGCUGGCUAUUGAAAUGGUAUGAUAGCUUGUACAAAACAAUUUUUGGGGAGGAGAAAUAUAAAGAGCCUUUGCUACUUUAGUUCUCUUAAUUCGUAAAUUAGAGGGUUUAAUAUUCAUGUGGGCUACAUUGAUGAACUCAAUUGUAGUGUUCUCUUCCAUGACACUUGUCUGUGCUCUGAUUAUUCUGUGUUAUGCUUGCAGUGGUAAAGAUUUUUUGAUGAUAGGUUAGAGAUGAAAUUGAACACCUUUUAGAUGACGAUGAAGACAUGGCUCAGUUGUACUUGACAAGGAAAUGGAUUCAAAAACAGCAAACUGAAUCCAUUUGGGAACUAUUGUUUCAAAUAGCUUUAUUCCUGUUGCACCGCAUCUUCGUAGGCUUAAUUCUGCCAGAAGCAGAAGUGGAAGUUUGGUGAGCAACCAUUUUAAUGACAAUAAUGUGGAGGAUCUGGAGAUGUUGCUCGAUGCCUACUUUAUGCAGCUGGAAGGCACUCGUAACAAGAUAUUAUCUGUAAGUAUUUAGGGGUAUCCCCCUCGGCUAUCCAAACCUGCCAAUAGCCUGACCUUAGGUCUAACUUAGUAAAAUAACUAGCCUUCGAAAGCCUGUCCAGUAGACCUUGAAUCAAAAGUACCGGAUACUUAUUUUUUAUCGUCACCUUCUUCAGCGCCUAUAGUCAAUACACAUCCGCAGUAUACCAUCCUAUUUUUUUCUGGAACAUAAUAGGGGCACCGUAUGGAGCCUUCGAUGGUUGAAUCAACCCAACAUCAAGCAUCAAAAAAUUGCUUCCUUCAUUCAUUCAGUCACAUAGGCGACAUGCGGUGAGGAGGUUGCACAGGCGGCAGUGAUCUAGGAAUAAGUUCAAUACUGUGAUCAAUCUCCCUCCUCGGUUGGAACUCCCUUGGCAAUUCUGGAGGCAUCACAUGUUUGAAUUCCUUCAGUAAAUCUGCAACACAAUCUGGUUCCUCAAUCUGCACAUCUGGCUUGACUUUAACGAGUGUAGUGAGGUAAGUCUCCUCACCCUUCUUCAAGCCCUUAUCAAAUACAAUGGCAAAAAUCAAAGCAGCAAUCCUGGCGUUCUUCCUUUCAUCCCCGUAGGGCCGAAUACCUUUCACAAAGCCGGGGUUUUUCUCCUUCAUGAACAUAAGUCCAUCUAAAUGAGGAAUUGGAGCAACUUUGUUCUUCUUCAGAAAAUCAAUUCCUAACAGCACAUUGAAGUCAUCCAAUGGCACAACAGUCAUGUUGAACUUCCUAGACCAAUGGCCCAAUAUCACCGGGAUAUCCAACACCACUUCAUAACCAGGUUGCGCCUUUGAGUUCACACCCUUCAUCUUCGUCAGACACUUUAUCACUUGCAGCCCAUACUCUUGAACAGUUCUAGAGGCAACAAAGGUGUGCGUGGCUCCGGUAUCAACCAUUGUCAUGACACCAUUGUUUUCAAUAUUCAGAUCCACAUACAUUAGUGUGGAAUAAGCAUCAGCCAAAUCAUCCCCCGUAGCAUUCACGUAUGCAACUUCUUCCUUGGCAGCAUAUUCUUCAUCAUUCGCCGCAGUCACACAAGCCAAAGUGUUCAACAGCCGCAACGGAUUCACAUAGGCAGCAACUUCCGGUCCCUUUUCUUGUUUCUCCUCUUCAGCAAGAAGGGCAUUAAUCUUUCCUUGAUUUGGACAAUUUCGUACAUGAUGUCCAAGUUUUGACAUGUCCAGCAAAUCUUUUCACCACCCAUUAGCCUGUUUGUUUUUGACGAAGAAGCACCCAUCGUGCUCUUGCCUUUGUCAUUUCCAUCCUGCUUCCGAUUGUUCUUCUUCCAAUCCUUACCCUUCUCCCUUUUAUUUGACUUAGAGGAAGAGGCAGGAUCAGAAGUUAGACCCUUGAGCGAAAAUCCACCAAUGCAUAUGCUGCCAUAAUUACACUACGCAUAUCUUUAACUUUCUGCCUACGAAUUUCGUUUUAUGCCCAUCCUUGCAUUCCAAAAAUGAAAUUGUGGAAUUUAUCCUCAUCUGGCAUGUUUUGGAUGUCUAGCCACAAAGAUAAAAAAUCUUUCACAUAGUCCCGAAUGGAACUAGUCUGUCUCAACCGCUUCAAGCGAUCCCUAGCAACCCAAUACGAGUUGCUAGGCAAGAACUUAUCCCUCAACGCGUCACGAAGUUUCUCCCAGUGUCAACCUUGGGCCUGCCAACACUUUCAUCGUCUGUAUUUUGCAUAUGCCACCACAACACUGUAUCUCCUCUAAUAUAACGCACUGUCAUAGUCACUUUAUCCUUCUCCAGGACGUGAGCAGUAGAGAAGUAAUGCUCUAAGUCCCAUAAGAAAUUUUCCAGUUCCUUGGUGCCUCUCAUGCCAUCAAAUACCUUUGGUUCUAGAAUCUUAAUUUUGGUGUGCUCUUCACCUUAUUGGGGCACAUUUGCAAAAGCCCGUCGGAGGAUCUGAAUCUCCAUUUUAAGAUCCUCGUUCUCCUUCUAUAAUUUUUCCAACUGCUCUGCAGUAGUUUCCUAGAAAGCCUGCAAUUUCACCAGUUGGAUAUCAAUACUUUGAUGGACAUAUUGAUGUUCUAUGUUGACACCGUGGAUCUGCGCCAGAAUAUCCACCAGAUCUACUGCGUCAUCCGUUAUUCCCACCAGCGCCUUCAACUUCUGAAGCCUUUCGCAAAGUUAUGCAUUUCCAUCCAUGAUAAUUCCAAGAUCUUGCCGACGUGCUCUGAUACCAGUUGUUACAGGGUCAAUUUUUUUUGUUUUGACACUGUACGACAGUCACACAACAAUGACUCAACCCUCUUCUUUAUCCCUAACGUUUUGGCUUAACACUUAGAUUAUGACAGCACAAACAAAUAUCAAACAAGCACACAACUUACAGGAAUUGCUUCCCAACUUUAUAUUAACUCGUGCUACAAAGAAACACAUAAACACAACCUUACAAAAAAGAGUCAAAGGCAACCAACACCCUGCCUUGAUAAUCUACCUAACAUAAUAAUAUAUAGGCAACGUUUUUUGCUCCAGACUUAUCUAAAACCUAACAGUUGACAUCCCCAACUGCAAGAGAUUUUAAAUUUCGAAUUUCAAACAAGACAACUUCACAUAGCCCCACAUAGCCACAAUGUUGAAAACAUGAACCUGCUCCAACUGCCUUGUAUGUGCGUGGCACAUGGGCGCAGUGGCGCCAAAGGCCAACUCUGUCAUGUCUUCGCGCCAAGCCCUCGUGCAUCAUGCCUUUGCGCGUAUGUCUGUCACUGCCGCUUGUCUAGCUCGCCCAUGACACUGCCUUGCCCACGCCCAUUUGCCUUGCCACACACUUCCUUAACUUGCCAUAGUUUUUCUAGCCUUUGCUAUGCAUCUACUGCCCGUUGUCUUUGCCUUGCCAUGGCCACGCCAACGCCAUUGACCUGUCAUGCCUUGGCACCUUAGCCACAUGCCGUCAUGCCAUGGUCCAUACCCAUCGACACCUGCUCAUGUCGGAUAUCUUUGUCAACAUGAUGCCACAUUCUUCAUUUGGCAGUGCCGAGAUCCAUCAUGUCAAUCCCUCGUCACGCCCAUGCCAUGUUCGAUCAAUCAAGCCGAGAGGCUAACAGUAGGCUUAUUCUUUUUGGAAACUAUAUGGCAUUGAGUGUAUUGGGAUCAAUAAAUAUUAACUUCACACAAUAUUCUCUACUCAAACCCGAUGAGAGAUUGAAGAUGGAUCUAAAAUUGAGAAAUUUAUCGUUCUUUACUUUUUGUAUUAUUUUGAUUAUUUUAACUCUUUUAUUGUGUUAUAUUAAGUUGCAUUAAAUUAAAUUGCUAAUGUACGUUAGAUUUUUAGCAUCCACAAUAAUUCAUAAUUCAAUGAACUCAAUGGCUAUCAUGCAAUCUAAUAAAUUGUUACUCCCUAUUUAAUUGCUCUAAUACAACACUUAGGCCCCGUUUGGACACGAGUUUUGCCAAAUAAAUUUGGGAUUUAUUUUCAAAACUCAUGUUUGGUCAUAAAUUUUGCCCAUAUUUUGGCAAAAUCCUAAACCCCAAAUCCCAAAAUCAACCAAAUUGUUGAUUUUGGGCCAAAAUCCCAAAAGUUGGGAAUUAUAUACAUGUUUUUCCAAAAUAAAGUUGGGAAAUAUGUUUUGAAAACGUAUGUCCAAACACAUUUUCAUCUUCAAACCAAAAUUCACCUAAAUCAGAUUUUUCAAAAUAAAUUUGGGAUUUAUGGCCAAACGCUAGCUAAAUAUCUUGUCAUCACUAAUCACAAUUUAAAAAAAAAACUAAAAUAGGAAAUUUUGUAGUAACGUAAAUAAACAAUAGAGAAAGGUCGACGCCUUUCCUUAAAUGUGGGACCAAACUGUAAAUAAAAUAAUAAAGAAAUCAUAAAAGAACAAAACUAGUGGGGUUCAUCUAGCAUGGAGGAAUAAAUAAAAUUGACGCAAAUUACGAAAUUCAGCAAUUUCGUAACCCCCAUCAACAAAAGCUCCACGCUUGAAAUUCUCACUCUCCCAUUUUUUCCCCAAAAAACGCUUUCAGUAUAUGGAAGAUCUUUAAGCAGAAGAAGAAGAAGGAGAAACAGCUGAAAAAGAAGAAUCAUUGCCAUUCCUUCUUUAAGAACAAAGAAUUAAAUGAACAUGCCCUAAUUGCUGACUCAAUAAUUGUUCCAAUAUUAUUCCUAUUUAUAUAUUUGGUUUACUCAGCCUUAUAAGAAUCUAAAGGGAAAGGGGUGAGAGUGAGAGAGAUAAAAAGAGAGCUAUGGGGAAGGACCAAUUUUUGAUUCGUUGGAGGAAGAAAGCGAUGGCACCACCGUUGCCGCCUCCGCCAGUGGUAAAUGGGGCGGCCACCAGUAAUUCAAUUGUGAAAGCGACAGGGAUUAGUAAAGUGGUGAAGAAGAAGGUCGGUGGGGCGAGGAUGUGGAUGAGAUUCGAUAAGCGGGGUCAAUCGGAGUUGAUAGAGUGGGAUAAGAGCGCUAUAAUCAAAUGUCCUAGAAUUCCUGCUAGGGACUUAAGGAUUCUUGGCCCAAUCUUCUCUCACUCCUCUAGCAUUCUUGGUAAUAUUAAUUUCGUUUGCCCCUUUUAAUUGCUUAUAAAUUUGUUCAUGUGUUUCCAACUAUAACAAUAAAUAUAUGAACUUUUAUGUUUAGCUUAACUGUAGGAAGUUUAACCAUUAUGUUUAGUUUACAUGUGUAUCUCCUAGCAUUUGCUUGUACCUAGUAGAAUGCUUUAAAAAAAAAAGAAAUGUGAUAUUGGGUUUCGAGGAAUUGAAAAGCUCAUUUCUUUUAACUUGCAGCAAGGGAUCAGGCGAUGAUUGUCAAUUUGGAGUUUAGAAGAGCCAUAAUUACCGCUGAAGAGGUAUUGUUGCUUGAUCCUCCACGUCAAGAGGUUCUCCUAUUUGUGGAUCAACUGAGGCAACAACUUCCUCAAAAAAGUCUUUCAAAUGUUAAUAGUACUAGUGCUGAACAAGAUAAUGAAGGACAAUUUCCAACUGCUGGAAACUGGUUAUCUGUUCUAGAAGCUGUCGAAGGUGUGCAGGCUGAGCUCCCUUUUGAGUUUCAGGUGCUGGAGGUUGCCUUGGAGGUUGUUUGUACAUUCUUAGACUCUAGCGUGGCAGAGCUGGAGAGAGAUGCUUACCCAGCUUUGGAUGAACUGGCUAUGAAUGCUAGCACGAAGAAUCUUGAGCAAGAGAAAAGUUUAAAAAGCAAUCUUACUCAUUUACUUGCCAUAGUGCAAAAGGUAUUCUUAUCUGUUUUUUCCCUUUUGCUAUUGAAACAUGAUAAAGGUCUUUUCUUCUAGUAAUUUCUGUUCAUUUCUUGACAUUAGGGAUAUAGUUUCCCACUUUGUGUAACACCCUUAUGCGCAAGUCAGAUGAUGAAUAGAUUUUAGUGCUGAGGUGUUCAUGGUUGGCUGCUGGAAAUUUGUUUGACCAGGAAGAGAACUUGUUACUUGUUGUCAUCAUCUAAUGCAGACUUACUGGUAAAGUACUUCAUAUUCAUUGUGUUAUGGCUUAUUGGGUGAACAACUAUUGGUGUCAGUUUGUACACCUUAAACACAAACCACAUUUAAUUUUAAUAGCCCUUGUUGCUCACUUUAAGUUAAUCUUCCUGAUGCCUCUUCUUAAGUAUUGCGUUCAUUUGUAGUGCAAUCUGUCUGCCUUAUGCUGGACCAAAUUUUGCACAUAUACUCGGGAAUGUGCUGGCUAUUGAAAUGGUAUGAUAUCUUGUACAAAAUAAUUUUUGGGGAGGAGAAAUAUAAGGAGCCUUUACUACUUUAGUUCUCUUAAUUCGUAAAUUAGAGGGUUUAAUAUUCAUAUAGGCUACAUUGAUGAACUCAAUUGUAGUGUUCUCUUCCAUGACACUUGUCUGUUCUCUGAUUAUACUGUGUUAUGCUUACAGUGGUAAAGAUUUUUUGAUGAUAGGUUAGAGAUGAAAUUGAACACCUUUUAGAUGACGAUGAAGACAUGACUCAGUUGUACUUGACAAAGAAAUGGAUUUAGAAUCAGCAAACUGAAUCCAUUUGGGAAUUAUUGUUUCAAAUAGCUUUAUUCUUGUUGCAUCGCACCUUUGUAGGCUUAAUUCUGCCAGAAGCAGAAGUGGAAGUUUGGUGAGCAACCAUUUUAACGACAAUGAUGUGGAGGAUCUAGAGAUGUUGCUCGAUGCCUACUUUAUACAGAUGGAAGACACUCGUAACAAGGUAUUAUCUAUAAGUAUUUUGUUUCCCCCCCCCAAAACCCUAAAAAAAUAUGCUCGCAUCCCUUGUAUUUCUUUGCGUCUUUUUAUGUUGGUAAUGGCGUAGACUUGUUGCUCCUCUUUCCUGUUGACAUUUACAAUUAUACUUUUAAACAAGUUACACAUAUAAGAGAAGAAUUAAAUAAGGUAUUAAUACCUUUAAGGAACCUCAAUUUUGCCCCAUCAACUAGGAUUUUUUUUAUGAUAUGAAUCUUGAUUUAAGUAUCCUUAUAUUGAAAAUGAUGCCGUGUAUCCUUAAUUCAUCUUGAUAUUUGAUAAUGAAAAGGAGGGAAAAAAGCUUCUAGUCUCCUUAUUUCUUGGCUGUAAGACAUGUCUUCCUCAAUAGUCGAUCUUUGCAGCAUAUUCCGGUAAAGCAGUAAGGUAAAGAAAGCUUUCCAGACAUGGGAAAGAAACUGAAGAAUUAAAAGAAUUGAAAUAAUAGUUGCAUCUCUUUCUUAAUUUGACAUUGCAAUAUCUUGCUAAUUCUAACUGCAGAUAUGCAGCUCUCAGUUUAAUCUACUGCCUAUGCUUUUCCCUCCUUUUCUUUUGUUAGGUUUCCUCUUGGGCCCCUAUAAUAGGCAGAUGAGAUAAUGUGCAAUGUCCACUCUCUCUCCCUCUCGAUCAAUCCCCCCCUCUCCCUUCAUUUGGAAUUAAAACCAUGCGAGAGACUGGGUUAUCAGGAACUUAGCAUUCCCUAAAAGACCUAAUAUCAUCUACCAAUUUGUAAUGAUGAAUACGUUGAUGCACGAUUUAUUAACUCUCUCUUCUUAAGUAGUAUAAGUACAAUUUGUAAACUCUCUUCUUACUUUUCUGUUAUUUUGGUCUGUAUUUGAAUCAUGUCUGUGGUCUUCCUUCGUUUGUUCUACAUCCUUCAAUCCCCUGUUAUUGUAUAAUUUGCAGGUCCGUGAGUACAUUGAUGACACAGAAGAUUACGUCAAUAUCCAACUCGACAAUCAGCGUAAUGAACUUAUUCAGCUACAGUUGACACUGACAAUUGCAUUGUUUGCUAUAGCUAUGGAGAUGCUGAUAGCUGAGUGGUUUAGCAUGAAUAUACCUUGUACCUUAUACCACACUGAGGGGGUAUUUUGGCCUUUUGUAACAGGCAUUACAAUAGGUUGUAUAAUACGCUUCCUUCUUAUCUUGGGAUAUGCGAGAUGGAAGAAGUUGUUUGGGUCAUGAAUUCCUCUAUUGUCAAGGUUUACAAGUUGUAUUAAUACAAGUCCGAAGCUUAUUUUUGCUCUGUGUGAGCCAUAUAUAAUACCUUCACUCAAUGUGCUCUUGUUAUACUUGCCCUUUGCAAAUAUAGUACUAGGCAGGGGACUGUGGACCGAGAGGAGUUAGUGCUGCAUAAAGUUAGGGGUAAGGGGGUUAAAUGACCCCCCUCCCCCGGUAUUUUUCUUGUAAGAAGGUACCCAAUUUAUUUUAGAUGUUUUCGCAAUCAAUGAUACUAUGCUUCUUAUCCGGCUUAUUGAACUCGUUCUCCUCCGCCUUUCUUUCUUAUAAUGGAAUCAAUUCUUACUUUCUUUUAUCCCAACGGGCUUUCUCUCUUCAUCACCAAUUAGAUCAGCACCCUUAUCCUUUCCGUUACUCAAAUAAAGCCUCAGUUCUGAUGUUGUGGUCCUUUGUGAUUUUUACUACAUAGUUAAUAUUUUUACUAUUGGCUAGAUAUGCAGAUAGCUUUCAGUUGCUUCAUAGAAUUAGUAUAUGAUUAUUAUGCCAAGUGCUGGUGUUGACUAAGGUGUUUUUCUGUACAACUAGUUUGCUAUAGCACUGCUGUGAUUAUGUUUCUUUGAACGGAGGGUUCUGUCUUUCGGAAACAGCCUCUCUACCUGCACAAGUUAGGGAUAAUAUUUGCGUACACACUAGCCUUUCUAGAUCUCACUUGUUGGAUUACACUGGCUAUGUUGUUGUUGUUGUUGGUUUGCUAUAGCACGGUGGAACUUAUAGCUUGUUUGACCAAACUUUUAAAAUAGUUGUUUUUUUUAAAAGUGCUUUUCUCAAACACUUCAACUUUAAAAGAAAAGCGUUUUUUUGAAAAAAAAAAGUUUUUGGACUUGGAGAAAUUUGGCUAGACAGGCUAUUAAUUUGAAUUUUGAAAUGAAGUCUGUACCGGAUGGGGCUCAAGGAUGCCAAAACUAGAGUAUAUAUAGUACGAGCAUUCACCCGUCACACUCUUUCCAACCUAUAUUUUAUAAAGAUUGCACUUUGUGCUUUAAUAUUUAUAUCUUACAUUAGACAUGAUGCAUAUUUUGGGAAGUUAUUCAUUGCCCAAUUCAAAAAAUAAAAUAAAAUAUACACCUUUCUCAGUAAGAUAUUAAAUAAAGGCUUGUUAGUGGAAACUAUAAUGUGGGAGUUGGGACUGCCACAAUGAGCUGUAUGAAUUCUGUCACACACCACUAGUUGGGUGGAAUACUAAAUAAUGAGCUAUACUCAUAACAAAUAAUUAUGACAAUUUUUAAUACUAAUAAUAUACUGUAGUACAGAUUGCUAAAAAAGUCUGAGUUGGAAAACCAGUGGCAUUAAUCUUAUAUUCAUGAUAAUAUCCAUAAAAAAUAAAUAAUUAUAAAAGAAGCGCGUUUGUUAUUACUAAACUUAAAACAAUUAUCAACGCCAUAAAUAGAAAGUUAAAAAAAGUAAAAUAUUAUAUAUGUAGUAAUUUUUUACCGAGGAAAUAUAAUUUUUUUUGAUCAAUAUGAAUAAAACGAAAUACUUAAUUUUGGCAUAAAAAUAAAAAUAGUCACUUUACUGUUGGCGCUAAAUUCAUUUUUAUUUUGACAUGAUUGGAACUUGCAACACUUUUGAUGUAGUUUUUGAUCAUAUAAUAAAUAUCCUAAUAAUAUGUUCAAUGUAGCCGCAAAAGUAGAUUAAACUAAAAUAUACUGAGAUAAAUGAAUGUGAUAAAUAGAUUAGGGGCUGUUUCAUGAAUAGCGAAACCUGUGGGGCUGAGAUAGUAGAAAUAAAGAAAGCAAUAUAACAGGUCAUUUUGGGCAGUAUACCUUUUCUACGGGAUACGUCACCGAGAAAGAAGUAGAUAGAAAGAGGAAAAAGAUUCGAUAAAAAAGAAGAUACCUUAGCCUUAAGAGAGAAGAAAUCUGAGCUCCUGAAUUGAUUAAUUCUCCAUUGUACCUGAAAUCACAUUGCAAAUUUCUUCAUUAGCAAUUAAAGGUCAGCCUUUUUCAUUGGCAAAAUAAAAAUAUGUCCAUAUUUUGGUUAAGUAGUUUUUUUUUUUUUUGGUUAUUUGAUCGAUUUGAUGUCGUUUGUGGUUCUUAUGAAAAUGUGAGCAAAAGUCGAGGAAGAAAAUUUUGGAGAAAAGGUUGAUUUUUUUUUUCGUGUGAUUAAUUGGCACUUCUUUGUUUAAGGGAGGAUAAUCUGAUUAAAAACUAGCAAGUUUAUGCUUUGAAGUUUGAGAUUUGGGGAAAAAGCAGUUUUUUUCUUCAAUUUUUCUGAUUGUUUAACUGGUUUUGUACAUGCCAAUAAUUUAACUGAUGAAUGGGGAAAAAAUUUCUUGUCCAAGCUGUAUACAUAAAUAAAAAGAAGAAGAUUAUUUCACACAAAACUAUGAUUGUCAGAUUGUACUCGAUCAUAUACACGUUAUGAUUGUUAAUUUGGUAGAAGGUUGAUGAACUUAUUGGGAUAUAAGGAUGGGUGCUCAUGUUAUACUCUAUUUGUAGAUAGAGAUUUAUCUUGAAGAGCCUGCAGAGAGAUUGUGGCUACACUUUGACCUUUUGAUUGUUUAAAUUUACGUAAAGAUGGAGCGCUCCCAUUUCCCAUGGCAAAUAGAUAAUGUUGAUAAAAUCAAUUCGUUGUGCUGCUGUGCUAUGGUUUUCAAUCACGCUUUGCAGAUCGCUUCAAGUGCGGCAGGCUUUGAUUAAUUUCUUGAACUUGGAUGCUUGGAGUUUGUUUGGUCAUUAUUGGUCAUUAAUUGCCGACUCAAUAAUUGUUCCAAUAUUAUUCCUUUUUUUAUAUUUGGCUUACGCAGCCUCAGAAGACUCUAAAGGGAAAGGGGUGAGAGUGAGAGAGAUACAGAGAGAGCUAUGGGGAAGGGCCAAUUUUCGAUUCGCCGGAGGAAGAAAGCGAUGGCGCCGCCGUUGCCGCCUCCGCCGGUGGUAAAUGGGGCAGUUGUCAGCAAUUCAAUUGUGGCAACGGCAGGGACUAGUAAAGUGGUGAAGAAGAAGGUCGGUGGGGCGAGGCUGUGGAUGAGAUUCGAUAAGCAGGGUCAAUCGGAGUUGAUAGAGUGGGAUAAGAGCGCUAUCAUCAAACGUGCUGGAAUUCCUGCUAGGGACUUGAGGAUUCUUGGCCCAAUCUUCUCUCACUCCUCUAGCAUUCUUGGUAAUAUUAAUUUCUUUUGCCCCUUUUAACUGCUUAUAAAUUUGUUCAUGUGUUUCCAACUAUAACAACAAAUAUCUGAACUUUUAUGUUUAGCUUAACUGUAGGAAGCUUAAGCAUUAUGUUUAGCUUACAUGUGUAUCUCCUAGCAUUUGCUUGUACCUAGUAGAAUGCUUUAAAAAAAAAGAAAUGUGAUAUUGGGUUUCGAGGAAUUGAAAAGUUCCUUUCUUUUAACUUGCAGCAAGGGAGAAGGCCAUGGUUGUCAAUUUGGAGUUUAUAAGAGCCAUAAUUACUGCUGAAGAGGUAUUGUUGCUUGAUCCUCUACGUCAAGAGGUUCUCCCAUUUGUGGAUCAACUGAGGCAACAACUUCCUCAUAAAAGUCUUUCAAAGGUUGAUGGUACUAGUGCUGAACAAGAUAAUGAAGGACAAUUUCCAACUGCUGGAAACUGGUUAUCUGUUCCAGAAGCUGUCGAAGGUCUGCAGGCUGAGCUCCCUUUUGAGUUUCAGGUGCUGGAGGUUGCCUUGGAGAUUGUUUGUACAUUCUUAGACUCUAGCGUGGCAGAGCUGGAGAGAGAUGCUUACCCAGUUUUGGAUGAACUGGCUAUGAAUGUUAGCACGAAGAAUCUUGAGCAAGUGAGAAGUUUAAAAAGCAAUCUUACUCGUUUACUUGCCAGAGUGCAGAAGGUAUUCUUAUAUGUUUUUUUCCCUGUUGCUAUUGAAACAUGAUAAAGGUCUUAUCUUCUAGUAAUUUCUGUUCAUUUCUUGACAUUAUGGAUAUAGUUUCCCAUUUUGUGUAACACCCUUAUGCGCAAGUCAGAUAAUAAAUAGAUUUCAGUGCUGAGGUGUUCAUGGUUAGCUGCUGGAAAUUUGUUUGACCAGGAAGAGAACUUGUUACUUGUUGUCAUCAUCUAAUGCAGACUUACUAGUAAAGUACUUCAUAUUCAUUGUGUUAUGGCUUAUUGGGUGAACAACUAUUGGUAUCAGUUUGUACACCUUAAACACAAACCUCAUUCAAUUUUAAUAGCCCUUGUUGCCCACUUUAAGUUAAUCUUCCUGAUGUCUCCUCUUAAGUAUUGAGUUUAUUUGUAGUGCAAUCUGUCUGCCUUAUGCUGGACCAAAUUUUGCACAUAUACUCGGGAAUGUGCUGGCUAUUGAAAUGGUAUGAUAGCCUGUACGAAACAAUUUUUGGGGAGGAGAAAUAUAAGGAGCCUUUGCUACUGUAGCUCUCUUAUUUCGUAAAUUGGAGGGUUUAAUAUUCAUGUGGGCUACAUUGAUGAACUCAAUUGUAGUGUUCUCUUCCAUGACACUUGUCUGUGCUCUGUUUAUUCUGUGUUAUGCUUACAGUGGUAAAGAUUUUUUGAUGAUAGGUUAGAGAUGAAAUUGAACACCUUUUAGAUGACAAUGAAGACAUGGCUCAGUUGUACUUGACAAGGAAAUGGAUUCAGAACCAGCAAACUGAGGCUCAUUUGGGAACUAUUGUUUCAAAUAGCUUUAUUCCUGUUGCACCGCAUCUUCGUAGGCUUAAUUCUGCCAGAAGCAGAAGUGGAAGUUUGGUGAGCAACCAUUUUAAUGACAAUGAUGUGGAGGAUCUGGAGAUGUUGCUCGAUGCCUACUUUAUGCAGCUGGAAGGCACUCGUAACAAGAUAUUAUCUGUAAGUAUUUUGUCCCCCCCCCCCAAAAAAAAAAAAAACCCCCAAAAAAUAUGCUUGCAUCCCUUGCAUUUUUUUUUGCGUCUUUUUAUGUUGGUAAUGGCGUAGACUUGUUGCUCCUCUUUCCUGUUGACAGUUACGAUUAUACUUUUAAACAAGUUACACAUAUAAGAGAAGAAUUAAAUAAGGUAUUCAUACCUUUAAGGAACCUCAAUUUUGCCCCAUCAACUAGGAUUUUUUUAUGAUAUGAAUCUUGAUUUAAGUAUCCUUAUAUUGAAAAUGAUGCCGUGUACUCUUAAUUCCUCUUGAUAUUUGAUAAUGAAAAGGGGGGGGGGGGAAGCUUGUAGUCUCAUGAUUUCUUGGCUGUAAGACAUGUCUUCCUCAAUAGUCGAUCUUUGCAGCAUAUUCUGGUAAAGCAGUAAGGUAAAGAAAGCUUUCCAGACUUGGGAAAGAAACUGAAGAAUUAAAAGAAUUGAAAUAAUAGUUGCAUCUCUUUCUUAAUUUGACAUUGCAAUACCUUGCUAAUUCCAACUGCAAAUAUACAGCUCUCAGUUUAAUCUACUGCCUCUGUUUUUCCCUCCUUUUCUUUUGUUAGGUUUCCUCUUGGGCCCCUAUAAUAGGCAGAUGAGAUAAUGUGCAAUGUCCUCUCUCUCUCGAUCAAUCCCCCCCUCUCCAUUCAUUUGGAAUGAAAACCAUGCGAGGGACUGAGUUAUCAGGAACUUAGCAUUCUCUAAAAGACCUAAUAUCAUCUACCAAUUUGUAAUGAUGAAUACGUUGAUGCACGAUUUAUUAACUCUCUCUUCUUAAGUAGUAUAAGUACAAUUUGUAAACUCUCUUCUUACUUUUUUGUUAUUUUGGUCUGCAUUUGAAUCAUGUCUGUGGUCUUCCUUCGUUUGUUCUGCAUCCUUCAAUCCCCUGUUAUUGUAUAAUUUGCAGGUCCGUGAGUACAUUGAUGACACAGAAGAUUACGUCAAUAUCCAACUUGACAAUCAACGUAAUGAACUUAUUCAGCUGCAGUUGACACUGACAAUUGCAUCGUUUGCUAUAGCUAUGGAGACGCUGAUAGCUGGGUGGUUUGGCAUGAAUAUACCUUGUACCUUAAACCACACUGAGGGGGUAUUUUGGCCUUUUGUAACAGGCAUCACAAUAGGUUGUAUAAUACUCUUCCUUCUUAUCUUGGGAUAUGCAAGAUGGAAGAAGUUGCUUGGGUCAUGAAUUCCUCUAUUGUCAAGGUUUACAAGUUGUAUUAAUACAAGUCCGAAGCUUAUUUUUGCUCUGUGUGAGCCAUACAUAAUACCUUCACUCAAUGUGCUCUUGUUAUACUUGCCCUUUGCAAAUAGAGUACUAGGCAGGGGACUGUAGACCGAGAGGAGUUAGUGCUGCAUAAUGUUAGGGGUAAGGGGGUUAAAUGACCCCCCUCCCCCGGUAUUUUUCUUGUAAGAAGGUACCCAAUUUAUUUUAGAUAUUUUCGCAAUCAAUGAUACUAUGCUUCUUAUCCAGCGUAUCGAACUCGUUCUCUUCCGCCUCUCUUUCUUAUGAUGGAAUCAAUUCUUACUUUCUUUUAUCCCAGCGGGCUUUCUCUCUUCAUCACCAAUUAGAUCAGCACCCUUAUCCUUUCCGUUACUCAAACAAAGCCUCAGUUCUGAUGUUGUGGUCCUUUGUGAUUUUUACUACAUAGUUAAUAUUUAUACUAUUGGCUAGAUAUGCA